CUCUCUGGGGGCUGCCCUGCUGCUGGCCGGGGCUGAAUGGCUGAAUUUGGCCAUGCUUUGCCUCUGCCAGAGCAUCAUGACAGAGCAGGAUAAAAGCUCACUCUUUCUAGCUGUGUUUUUCUAGUCACUUUUCUACUGAUCCAGGUUACUCCCAAAGACAUGGCAAAGAACUGUGCUCUUCACUAGAUCCAUUUAUUUUGUUUUCAACCCAGUGCUGUGCCACAGAUGCCUGGCCCAAUAUAUCCCAUCUCCUAUUAAGUUAUUUCCCAGUCAUUGUGGUGUGAGCAUGGUGGCACCAACAGCCAGUCCUGGCAGCCUCCCCUAUAUUGUCACACUCUGAACGUGGCAGAGCAAGUCAUUAAAAGCAAAAGCCUCUGUGCCACUCGGAGACUGGGCUCCCAGAUCCACAGGUAAUUAGAUCCCGGCCGUGCAAGGUAGUCAGGCAAUUCAAUGCAGUUAGAGAGACAUUUGCUUCCAAAACAAAGGCAGCAAGGAGACACCGGGAAUAUCAACUGCCAAAUUCUGCUCCUCGAUGGGACUGAGCCAUAUCCAAUCUGUCGGUUUUCAGACACCUUGUAGGUACCUGCCAUACAGUGUCUACCUGUUACACAUGCUCCCUGGGAUAUUAGAGAUGCUAAGUGAGAACUGAGAAGAUAAACUGAGAAGUGAAGCUUGUGUUCAAGCAGGCCACCUGCAAAUGGGGCUUUUCACCUUGCCAGGGAUUCCCCUCCAUGUGCCGGCUGCUAGAGCUCAGACUCCCAGCUCACAUCCCUCCCUGUGUCCUGCAGAACCUAGGACAAAUCCCCAUCUCAGCGGCAGCCCCCUGCAGGGUGAACCAAGUCAGCAGGGAAAGAUAAAGCCAGGACACUCGGGUUAUUGACCGGACCAGCCUCUCCACACCACCAUCAGGCCACUCAGGAGGAAGGACUUAGAGCACACAGCUACAAAUCGCGCCAGAGCAGCAUCGAGCCCUCCUUGAAGCCUAUCUGGAGGCGCUGAUGACGCAGGCACAGAGCUCUUAGAGGAGGCGCUGCCCUCCCAGCGGCUCCCACAGGUGAUCAGAACCAAUGGCUUGGGUCAACCCUGAUUUGUGGGGUUUCCCUCAGCUGCCUUGCAGCCCCCAGGGCCCCACUCACCCUUUGGGGAUCCUCCGGGAGGGAGUCUGGCUGCCGUGCAUCUGCCUCUGCAUCCCCCGUGCCCUCCUCCACCUGCACCGCUGGAGACUCCUCCUCCGGACACCUUUCCAGCCCUGCCCGCCUGCUGGCCGCGGGCCCUGCCACUGCCCCAGCUACCCCCGUUGCUCCCCGGCUCCCACCAGUGCCCCACUCGCCUUGGGCCCCGUCAGCGCCCCACUCUCCCUGCCAGCCCCCCACUGGCCCUUGCUGUGCCCGGGUCCCGCCGGCGCCCCGCUUACCUUACCAGCACCGCCUCGCUGUGCCCGGCUCGCCCUGCCAGCGCCCUCCCCGCGCCCCGGGCCCCGCGGGAGCUGGAGCAGCAGGUCGGGCUUUGUCUCCCGCAAAGCUACCCAACUUACCUUUCCAGUCCGCCGCGCUCGGCACCCACGCCCGGAAAGCAAACACGGAUGGAAAGCCGCGGUGCGGCCCGACGCUGCUGCCCCCCACCCAGCACUCGUCCUGCGGCCGGGGGCAAGAGCUCUGCCUGGGUGGCAGAGGCAGCUUUCCCAGCAAUCGGGAAUUAAUCCCUGCCUGGAGGAGAGCGAUGACUAAAAGGCAGGCAGCUGGUGGCACCUUGUGCCUGUUGUUUGGACAGGCCUUCCCCUUGGUUUACUGUGCAGCAGAGAGGAGCAAAGUCGAAGGACCAAUUGCUCGUGCUCUAAUUUAUCGCACAUGGAAAGGCAGCAAGGGGAUUUUUUAGCAACAGAAAUGGCCUAGCAGCUACAUCACCAUGGGGCAGGUACAGGCUCUGUGCUGAUUCUGCUGUACCAACUGGUCUUAGCACAACUCCUCCCUGCCCAGAAUCCAAG